GCGUUAUCCGGAAUGAUUGGGCGUAAAGCGUCCGCAGGUGGCAGUUCAAGUCUGCUGUCAAAGACCGGGGCUCAACCUCGGAAAGGCAGUGGAAACUGAACAGCUAGAGUAUGGUAGGGGCAAAGGGAAUUCCUGGUGUAGCGGUGAAAUGCGUAGAG
rnacentral:rRNA from 1 species